AAGCUACUCCAAUUUCUCACAAAAUCCUCGAAUCUGACUUGCAUUAUUGUUUGUCUUUCACUCGGUUGUUCACUGUUUUUGUGCGAUUUUUAUGUACUGAGGAGAUUUUUGCAGUGAGGCCCUGUUUGGUUGCUGAGGAAAUCUGAAGAAUGAAAGGGAAAAUGAAAAAAGAAGAAACUUUUAGUAGGAAGGAAAGGAAUUUGGAAUAAAUUCCGUACACGUCUUAAAAUACACAAGUUGUUUCGGAUUUAACUGAAAUUUAGUUUACCAUUUUACCCCUUGCCUUUCUAUUGGAAUUCGGAACUGCCAUUCCAGGGCUCGUUUUUUUUUUUUUCCUGGGUGGUCUCAGUCUUAUUGUGCAAAGGGAGUUGUUCCGAAAUCCCCUUGUUUAAAGGCUUCUGACAUAAGGAGGUUGGUCUGGUGGAUGAUCCUGUUCAAGGGGAAAGCAGAAUGAGAGGUGAGAGUGGGUUGGAGGAACGACAAUGACCCCUAUUGAGAUUUUGAAACGGAGAGAUUCCUUCAUGGGAAAAAGGCUAUGGUAUGGGCAAUUCAAGUGUAUGGUAAGAUCAAGGUCAUGGAAAACACUUAAGACUGAGGUACAUGGACCAAGGUAUAAACAAAUGGGACCCAGACUCAAGGUAAUGAGUCUAUUUGCAAGGUAUGGUAACUAAGAUAUAAAGCGGAGAUCUUGCUGGAUGCUACUUUUUGGUAGUACCGUACCCCAAUCCUUAUUUAAGAAAGUUUUGGUCCUUUCAAUUGAUGACUAGUAGGCCUAUUUUUGAGUAGUUUUGUGGAUAAGAAUCUACUAAAUGAAAAUGGCGUCAUGCAUAUAAUCAGUUGACAAACAUAGUGAGGAUGAUGCAUUUCCUGCUAUGUUGUUGCUUGAUUGAAACAGAGGGUUGUCUAAACAAGACUGCGAUAACCAAACUCCACCAACGAAGUGCAACAGACCCAAUUGGGCUUCUCAAGCCUUGCUCUUGAGACGAGUAGGCACAACGCAUCUGACAUGCCACAUGGCAUCUUCAGUGGAGGGAACAUUGAUGGGCUAAUAUUGGAAGAAGUGCAAUAAGAUGAUCAUGUGGGCACAAUGGUGGAAGAUCAGUUCAAUAAUUAAAUACAUCAGCAAACUCUUGAAGCAGUGAAGCAGCUGAAAAGGUGGUAAAUCUUCAUUAGAAUUUGAAGCUUGAAGGAUGAAGAGUUGGAUUGUAUAGCAUAUCUGCCUAUGUGGCAAAUAAUUUGACUAUAGUACCACUGGUGGUUUGAGCUUCAGCAAAGCUUAUAUUAGUCAAAGUAUUGUUUUUAUCAGUUACAUUAGUCAAAGUAUACAGCUUUCUUUUUUACAAUGAGUGGUAUUCUUAGUGUAUUGAAGUCCUACUAAUGAGGCUAAGGGCUUGUAACUACCAUGCACUCAGCAAGGCAUAGCACUUGAAUAUGGCAACAAGGUAGACCUUGGUGCUAAACUGACAAUCAUUAGAGCUUAACUUGAUUCCUUUGCCUUGAUUACAAAUAUAACCUCAAUUGUGGCCA